UACGUAGGGGGCGAGCGUUGUCCGGAAUUACUGGGCGUAAAGGGCGCGCAGGCUGUUAUGCGAGUCUGCUGUGAAAUGUACCGGCUCAACCGGUGCCUUGCGGCGGAUACUGCAUAGCUGGAGUACUGGAGAGGGAAGUGGAAUUCCCGGUGUAGCGGUGAAAUGCGUAGAUAUCGAGAGGAACACCGGUGGCGAAGGCGGCUUUCUGGCCAGUUACUGACGCUCAUGCGCGAAAGCUGGGGUAGCGAACCGGAUUAGA
rnacentral:rRNA from 1 species